rnacentral:sRNA from 1 species
CCAAAAUGGCGAGGGGCUGUAUUGAAGUGGGCUGUGUUUGAGGCCGGUGUAAGAACGCUCAUUCUACCCUCAACCCUUGUCUCCAAGGACCUCGGUUUGUGCGUGCAUAUGUGCCGGGUACCCGGUGGGGCGGGUGCCCAGUAAGUGCUUGGACUCGCAGGGGAAGCGCCCACGGGGACGGAUUGGUUGUUUUUUCCUGUAUGAAGCAGUUGGCACCACUGAAGUGACCGAAUGAGAGACUCUACAGGGGCAGGUAAUUCACUGGUCCACAAGCGGUCUCCUUUACGUCGAAACCAAAAGACCCCAACAUCCUUGACCAAGCUGUCUUUACAGGAUGGACAUAAAGCCAAAAAGCCAGCAUGUAAAUUUGAAGAGGGUCAGGAUGUCCUAGCUAGAUGGUCAGAUGGCUUGUUUUAUCUUGGCACUAUCAAAAAGAUAAACAUAUUGAAACAGAGCUGCUUCAUCAUAUUUGAAGACAGUUCUAAAUCCUGGGUUCUCUGGAAGGACAUUCAAACAGGAGCCACAGGAAGUGGGGAAAUGGUCUGUACAAUAUGUCAAGAAGAGUAUUCAGAAGCUCCCAAUGAAAUGGUUAUAUGUGACAAGUGUGGCCAAGGAUAUCAUCAGUUGUGUCACACACCUCAUAUUGAUUCCAGUGUGAUUGAUUCAGAUGAAAAAUGGCUCUGUCGGCAGUGUGUUUUUGCAACAACAACAAAGAGGGGUGGUGCACUUAAGAAAGGACCAAAUGCCAAAGCAUUGCAAGUCAUGAAGCAGACAUUACCCUAUAGUGUGGCAGACCUUGAAUGGGAUGCAGGUCAUAAAACCAAUGUCCAGCAGUGUUACUGCUAUUGUGGAGGCCCUGGAGACUGGUAUUUAAAGAUGCUACAGUGCUGCAAAUGUAAGCAGUGGUUUCAUGAGGCUUGUGUGCAAUGCCUUCAAAAGCCAAUGCUAUUUGGAGACAGAUUUUA